AACGGCGCAGUGAGCACAAAGAGAACUAUUGUUUGGCCUUUUACUAAAGAAUACCGUGUGCUCGUUGCAAUAAGUGGCAUGCACUAAUUUGUUUCAGUCUUUUUAAGAUG
rnacentral:snRNA from 1 species